UACGUAGGGGGCAAGCGUUGUCCGGAUUUAUUGGGCGUAAAGAGCGUGUAGGCGGCCUGACAGGUCUGCUGUGAAAACUCGAGGCUCAACCUCGAGAUGUCGGCGGAAACCGUCUGGCUAGAGUCCGGAAGAGGAGAGUGGAAUUCCUGGUGUAGCGGUGAAAUGCGCAGAUAUCAGGAAGAACACCCGUGGCGAAGGCGGUUCUCUGGGACGGUACUGACGCUGAGACGCGAAAGCGUGGGGAGCGAACAGG
rnacentral:rRNA from 1 species